rnacentral:rRNA from 1 species
UACGUAGGGUGCGAGCGUUGUCCGGAAUUAUUGGGCGUAAAGAGCUCGUAGGCGGUUUGUCGCGUCGGCCGUGAAAACUUGGGGCUUAACUCCAAGCUUGCGGUCGAUACGGGCAGACUUGAGUUCGGCAGGGGAGACUGGAAUUCCUGGUGUAGCGGUGAAAUGCGCAGAUAUCAGGAGGAACACCGGUAGCGAAGGCGGGUCUCUGGGCCGACACUGACGCUGAGGAGCGAAAGCGUGGGGAGCGAACAGG